rnacentral:rRNA from 1 species
UGAGUACGAGCUGCUACGGCAGCGAAGUGGAUGAUGUCAAGCUUCCAAGAAAAGCCCUAUACCCGUUAAGGCAUGACGGCCUGUACCCGAAACCGACACAGGUGGGGUGGUAGAGAAUACCGAGGGGCGCGAGAUAACUCUCUCUAAGGAACUCGGCAAAAUGGCCCCGUAACUUCGGGAGAAGGGGUGCCACCGCGAGGUGGUCGCAGUGAAGAGGCCCAGGCGACUGUUUACCAAAAACACAGGUCUCCGCUAAGUCGCAAGACGAUGUAUGGGGGCUGACGCCUGCCCAGUGCCGGAAGGUUAAGGAAGCCGGUCAGCGUAAGCGAAGCUGGCGACCGAAGCCCCGGUGAACGGCGGCCGUAACUAUAACGGUCCUAAGGUAGCGAAAUUCCUUGUCGGGUAAGUUCCGACCCGCACGAAAGGCGUAACGAUCUGGGCGCUCUCGGAGAGAGGCUCGGCGAAAUAGAAUUGUCUGUGAAGAUGCGGACUACGUGCACCCGGACAGAAAGACCCUAUGAAGCUUUACUGUAGCUUGGUAUUGUGCUCGGGCUCUGAAUGCGCAGGAUAGGUGGGAGUCUUUGAUCCAUUGCUUGUGGGUGAUGGUGAGCCACUGGUGAGAUACCACUCUUUCAGAGCUAGGGUUCUAACGGUCACCCGUUAUCCGGGGACCGGACAGUAUCAGGUGGGCAGUUUGACAGGGGCGGUCGCCUCCUAAAAGGUAACGGAGGCGCGCAAAGGUUCCCUCAGGCUGGUUGGAAAUCAGCCGACGAGUGCAAAGGCAGAAGGGAGCUUGACUGUGAGACCAACAAGUCGAACAGGGACGAAAGUCGGCCUUAGUGAUCCGACGGUUCUGAGUGAAGGGCCGUCGCUCAACGGAUAAAAGUUACUCUAGGAUAACAGGCUGAUCUCCCCCAAGAGUUCACAUCGACGGGGAGGUUUGGCACCUCGAUGUCGGCUCAUCGCAACCUGGGGCUGAAGUCGGUCCCAAGGGUUGGGCUGUUCGCCCAUUAAAGCGGUACGCGAGCUGGGUUCAGAACGUCGUGAGACAGUUCGGUCCAUAUCCGGUGCAUGCGCAGGAACAUUGAGAGGAUUUCUCCCUAGUACGAGAGGACCGGGAGGAACGCACCUCUGGUGUACCAGUUAUCGUGCCAACGGUAAACGCUGGGUAGCCAUGUGCGGAGCGGAUAACCGCUGAAAGCAUCUAAGUGGGAAGCCCACCUCAAGAUGAG